rnacentral:lncRNA from 1 species
GUGAGUAUCUACAUAGACCAUAGCAUACUCUAAGGAUUUUUGUUAUUAUUUGUUUUUUUUUUUAAAGAAGAUGUCACAACCAACACCAGUCAUGCAAGGUUGCUGGUGCAUCUUGAUGCCCACAUGCAUGCAGCUGUCUACACCAACCAGCAGUGUGGCUGAGGAGUGGACCAGGUCUGAACUGUGCCAUCUGUGGAUCACCAGAAGGGACUACUACUUUUAUCUUGCGAGACAGAGCCAAAAGAGAAUUUGUUUAAAGUGGUAUCGAGGUGGACUUAAACUGGCAUGAGACUUACAAGCCAAAUGUUGGACUUUUCCAGUUGCUAACAUGCUUCAGUAGCUGUGUGCUGCUCGCCAGGAAUGAAACCAUACCUGUGAUUUAGAGGAGAUAAAGUGAGUGAAUGCAUGAAGUAAAACAUUAGGAAUUUUAGCAAAACCAGGUGAGAACUGAGAAAAAAUCAAAAAAGAAUCAAUGUGAAAUUGUGUCUAAACCUCAGACAGAGCCAGAAAAUUCAUUUGUUCUUCUUCUCAAAAUUAAAAUAAAAAAAUAAUUUUUAGAAGGAGGCA